CCUACGGGUGGCAGCAGUGGGGAAUAUUGCACAAUGGGGGAAACCCUGAUGCAGCGACGCCGCGUGAGUGAAGAAGUAUUUCGGUAUGUAAAGCUCUAUCAGCAGGGAAGAAGAUGGACGGUACCGAACAACGAGGCCCCGACAAACAACGGGCCGGAAGCGCCGGGAAAACGUAGGGGGUAAGCGUGACCCGGUUGUACUGGGUGUAAAGGGAGCGUAGCCGGAUGUGAAAGUCUGAAGUGAAAGCCCAGGGCGCAACCCUGGGACUGCUUUGGAAACUGUGGGGCUAGAGUGCUGGAGGGGUAAGUGGAAUUCCUAGUGUAGCGGUGAAAUGCGUAGAUAUUAGGAGGAACACCAGUGGCGAAGGCGGCUUACUGGACAGUAACUGACGUUGAGGCUCGAAGGCGUGGGGAGCAAACAGGAUUAGAUACCCGUGUAGUC
rnacentral:rRNA from 1 species